ACCGAAUUUACCAGAGAUGGUUUAGUGCUCGAAAGAGAACGGUAACACAGGUGCUGCAUGGCUGUCGUCAGCUCGUGUCGUGAGAUGUUGGGUUAAGUCCCGCAACGAGCGCAACCCUUGCCAUUAAUUGCCAUCAUUUAGUUGGGCACUUUAAUGGGACUGCCGGUGACAAACCGGAGGAAGGUGGGGAUGACGUCAAGUCCUCAUGGCCCUUAUGGCCAGGGCUUCACACGUAAUACAAUGGUCGGUACAGAGGGUUGCCAACCCGCGAGGGGGAGCCAAUCCCAAAAAGCCGAUCGUAGUCCGGAUUGUAGUCUGCAACUCGACUACAUGAAGUCGGAAUCGCUAGUAAUCGCGGAUCAGCAUGUCGCGGUGAAUACGUUCCCG
rnacentral:rRNA from 1 species